UAGCCAAUGAGGUUUAUCCGAGG
rnacentral:piRNA from 1 species